UAUAAAUCUUACAGAAUCGUUUUAAUUCAUAUUAGUACCAGCAAGAUGGAAACCAAGGCUAUGUUGUUGCUACUCGUACUGAUCUGUCUGAGCGAUAUGACACGAAAAGGCAAUCCUAUAUCAAAUUGGUUGCUCGGUUGAAAAACAAGACAACAAGGCAAGACACCAGCAAAGUUGUUAUUAGUCGUGAUAUGUAUUAGAUAAUGUAUUACUGAUUAAAGAUUAUCGACCAAAUGA